rnacentral:rRNA from 1 species
AGUGAACGCUGGCGGUAGGCCUAACACAUGCAAGUCGAACGGCAGCACAGUAAGAGCUUGCUCUUACGGGUGGCGAGUGGCGGACGGGUGAGGAAUACAUCGGAAUCUACUUUUUCGUGGGGGAUAACGUAGGGAAACUUACGCUAAUACCGCAUACGACCUACGGGUGAAAGCAGGGGAUCUUCGGACCUUGCGCGAUUGAAUGAGCCGAUGUCGGAUUAGCUAGUUGGCGGGGUAAAGGCCCACCAAGGCGACGAUCCGUAGCUGGUCUGAGAGGAUGAUCGGACAGACAGGAACUGAGACAAGGUGUAGACUCGGACGGGGAGCAGUAGUAGGGAAUAGUGAGCGAUGGGCGAAGGCCUGACGGAGCAACGCCGCGUGAGUGAUGAAGGUCGUCGGAUAGUAAAACUCUGUUAUUAGGGAAGAAAAAAUGAAUAAGAAACUAGGCACGUCUGGACGGUACCUAAGGAGAAAGACAAGGGGAAGUACGCG